GAAGUUUGAUCAUGGCUCAGGAUGAACGCUAGCUACAGGCUUAACACAUGCAAGUCGAGGGGCAUCAGUUUGGUUUGCUUGCAAACCAAAGCUGGCGACCGGCGCACGGGUGAGUAACACGUAUCCAACCUGCCUCAUACUCGGGGAUAGCCUUUCGAAAGAAAGAUUAAUAUCCGAUAGCAUAUAUUUCCCGCAUGGGUUUUAUAUUAAAGAAAUUCGGUAUGAGAUGGGGAUGCGUUCCAUUUAG
rnacentral:rRNA from 1 species